rnacentral:rRNA from 1 species
ACGAACGCUGGCGGCAUGCCUAAUACAUGCAAGUCGAGCGAAUGACGAAGAAGCUUGCUUCUUCUGAUUUAGCGGCGGACGGGUGAGUAACACGUGGGCAACCUGCCCUGUAGAUUGGGAUAACUCCGGGAAACCGGGGCUAAUACCGAAUAAUCCAUUUCCUCUCAUGGGGAGAUGUUAAAAGACGGUUUCGGCUGUCACUACAGGAUGGGCCCGCGGCGCAUUAGCUAGUUGGUGAGGUAACGGCUCACCAAGGCGACGAUGCGUAGCCGACCUGAGAGGGUGAUCGGCCACACUGGGACUGAGACACGGCCCAGACUCCUACGGGAGGCAGCAGUAGGGAAUCUUCCACAAUGGACGAAAGUCUGAUGGAGCAAUGCCGCGUGAGUGAAGAAGGUUUUCGGAUCGUAAAACUCUGUUGUGAGGGAAGAACAAGUACGAGAGUAACUGCUCGUACCUUGACGGUACCUCAUUAGAAAGCCACGGCUAACUACGUGCCAGCAGCCGCGGUAAUACGUAGGUGGCAAGCGUUGUCCGGAAUUAUUGGGCGUAAAGCGCGCGCAGGCGGUCCUUUAAGUCUGAUGUGAAAUCCCACGGCUCAACCGUGGAAGGUCAUUGGAAACUGGGGGACUUGAGUACAGAAGAGGAAAGCGGAAUUCCAAGUGUAGCGGUGAAAUGCGUAGAGAUUUGGAGGAACACCAGUGGCGAAGGCGGCUUUCUGGUCUGUAACUGACGCUGAGGAGCGAAAGCAUGGGGAGCGAACAGGAUUAGAUACCCUGGUAGUCC